AUUGAACGCUGGCGGCAGGCUUAACACAUGCAAGUCGAGCGAGCGGCGGACGUGUGUGUAAUGUCUGGGAAACUGCCUGAUGGAGGGGGAUAACUACUGAAAACGGUAGCUAAUACCGCAUACCAUCAGAUGUGCCCAGAUGGGAUUAGCUAGUAGGUGGGGUAAUGGCACACCUAGGCGCCGAUCCCUAGCUGGUCUGAGAGGAGGACCAGCAACACUGGAACUGAGACACGGUCCAGACUCCUACGGGAGGCAGAAGUGGGGAAUAUUGCACAAUGGGCGCAAGCCUGACGCAGCCAUGCCGCGUGGGUGAAGAAGGCCUUCGGGUUGUAAAGCACUUUCAGCGAGGAGGCGUUACUCGAAGAAGAAGCACCGGCUAACUCCGUGCCAGCAGCCGCGGUAAUUC
rnacentral:rRNA from 1 species